rnacentral:rRNA from 1 species
UAGGGAAUCUUCCACAAUGGACGAAAGUCUGAUGGAGCAACGCCGCGUGAGUGAAGAAGGGUUUCGGCUCGUAAACUCUGUUGUUAAAGAAGAACAUAUCUGAGAGUAACUGUUCAAUGUGUGACGGUAUCUUACCAGAAAGGAACGGCUAAAUACGUGCCAC